rnacentral:lncRNA from 1 species
GUUAUAUAAAGGGAAACUCCUAUAAGUUAUUUAACAGUUAAAAUCUGUUAUGAUGUUACUGGCAGAUUGAUCCCUCAAGGGCUCACAUUGUUUAGCAAUUUUUAAGAUAACAGCCAAACUUACAUUUUACCCCUGUGAUCUAUUUUUAAGCAUAAGCCAUGAUAAGGUCCGAACCACUUGACAUAUUUCAAAGAAGGUGCCCAUAUAAUGAUUGCAGUCAAGUGCUUUUGUUGGCCCAGCAGAUUCAUAGAACGUUUUUGUAAAAGUCGACGAACAACAAAUGAAGGAUAACAGACUUGAAAAUUUUGAUCAGACGAACUAAAAUUGGAUGAAACACAUCCAUAAAAUAACAAUCGACCCAAAAGAUAAAGAAAACAUCUUUC